CUGGGCGGGCCGGAAGAGGGCACUCGCCAGCGACCCUUGGUGGUCCAGCUGGGUCGGGGGGGGGGGGGGGGGGCUCGAGUCGGGUACGCCAGGCCGCGGCGCCUCAACACGUUCCCAAGCAGCGGCGCAGGCCAGAACAGAGUCGUGCUCCGCCACGAGGGCGACCACUCGUGGGAAGGACCGGAAGUUGGGGAAGGGACGGAGAGCAGAGAGGGGCCCCAAUCCCUUAUUCAAAACCUUCAGGGCCAGAACUGUUUUGGAAUUCACAAGUGUUUGGAUCUUAACAGGAUAGUAAGCCCCUUGCCUGUGCCUUGGAGAUUGCUGCUGAGUUAACUUGGCCCUUCCUGCUGAUUGCGGUGGAUCUCUGCUCUUUGUGGGUUGUCCACCUCCAGAGGAUUGGCUCUAAAUCAGUCAUCCCUAUGAGACGUUUUCCAUCAUGCCUAGACCCUGAGUCCCAUUAAAUGGUGUUUCUAUGGCAAAUCAAGGAGAUAUGUAGAACACAACUGCUUAUAACUGCUUAUCCAUGAUUGUAGUGAACCACAAGUGCAAAGUCUUAUUACAUGCAGUCACCUGUUUAUGGGUCAAAUAUACCUUGUGUAUUCUGCCUCCUUUGUGAUUUCUGAUGUCAAAUAAAAUGGAAUUUCAACUAAUAGCUUUUCCAUAUUGAUUACAUUCAAUAAGUUUCUCAAAUCUAUGUGAAUUUCCCAGUGUCAAAUAAGGUAAUAAGAUGAUAACCAUAGUUGAAAGCCUGCCAACAUUGACUCCAUUCACAGUGUUCUGUAGUAUGAGUCCUCUUGCGUUGAAUA